AGGGCAGCUACCCAGCAAUGGGAUGCGAAUCUCGAAAGCCUGUCUCAGUUCGGAUUGGAGGCUGAAACCCGCCUCCAUGAAGUUGGAUUCGCUAGUAAUCGCGCAUCAGCCAUGGCGCGGUGAAUACGUUCCCGGGCCUUGUACACACCGCCCGUCAAGCCAUGGGAGCCGGGGGUGCCUGAAUUCGUGACCGCAAGGAGCGACCUAGGGCAAAACUGGUGACUGGGGCUAAGUCGUAACAAGGUAGC
rnacentral:rRNA from 1 species